rnacentral:misc_RNA from 1 species
GAUGAAGAACGCAGCGAAAUGCGAUAAGUAAUGUGAAUUGCAGAAUUCAGUGAAUCAUCGAAUCUUUGAACGCACCUUGCGCCCUUUGGCUAUUCUGAAGGGCAUGCCUGUUUGAGUAUCGUGAACACCUCAACUCUCAUGGUCUGCCAUGAUGAGCUUGGACUUUGGGGGUCUUGCUGGCCUACUGUCAGCUCCUCUCAAAUGAAUCAGCUUACCAGUGUUUGGUGGCACCACAGGUGUGAUAACUAUCUACGCUUGUGGUUUUCUGCCAGGUAACCUCCAGUGAUGGAGGUUCGCUGGAGCUCACAACUGUCUCUCCUCAGCGAGGACAGCUUUUUGAACGUUUGAUCUCAAAUCAGGUAGGACUACCCGCUGAACUUAAGCAUAUCAAUAAGCGGAGGA